AGAGUUUGAUCCUGGCUCAGGAUGAACGCUAGCUACAGGCUUAACACAUGCAAGUCGAGGGGAAACGAUAUUGGAAGCUUGCUUCCGAUAGGCGUCGACCGGCGUACGGGUGAGUAACGCGUAUCCAACCUGCCCUACCACUUGGGGAUAACCUUGCGAAAGUAAGACUAAUACCCCAAUGACGUCUCUAGAAGACAUCUGAAAGAGAUUAAAGAUUUAUCGGUGAUGGAUGGGGAUGCGUCUGAUUAGCUUGUUGGCGGGGUAACGGCCCACCAAGGCAACGAUCAGUAGGGGUUCUGAGAGGAAGGUCCCCCACAUUGGAACUGAGACACGGUCCAAACUCCUACGGGAGGCAGCA
rnacentral:rRNA from 1 species